UACGGAGGAUGCGAGCGUUAUUCGGAUUUAUUGGGUUUAAAGGGUGCGUAGGCGGGCUGUUAAGUCAGCGGUCAAAUGUCGGGGCUCAACCCCGGCCUGCCGUUGAAACUGGCGGCCUCGAGUGGGCGAGAAGUAUGCGGAAUGCGUGGUGUAGCGGUGAAAUGCAUAGAUAUCACGCAGAACCCCGAUUGCGAAGGCAUCUGACGAAUCGGAGAUUGACGCUGAUGCACGAAAGCGUGGGUAUCGAACAGG
rnacentral:rRNA from 1 species